rnacentral:rRNA from 1 species
UCGGGAAUUUUGGGCAAUGGGCGAAAGCCUGACCCAGCAACGCCGCGUGAAGGAUGAAGUAUUUCGGUAUGUAAACUUCGAAAGAAUAGGAAGAAUAAAUGACGGUACUAUUUAUAAGGUCCGGCUAACUACGUGCCAGCAGCCGCGGUAAUACGUAGGGACCAAGCGUUGUUCGGAUUUACUGGGCGUAAAGGGCGCGUAGGCGGCAAUUCAAGUCACUUGUGAAAUCUCUGGGCUUAACCCAGAACGGCCAAGUGAUACUGUCGCGCUAGAGUGCAGAAGGGGCAAUCGGAAUUCUUGGUGUAGCGGUGAAAUGCGUAGAUAUCAAGAGGAACACCUGAGGUGAAGACGGGUUGCUGGGCUGACACUGACGCUGAGGCGCGAAAGCCAGGGGAGCAAACGGGAUUAGAUACCCUUGUAGUCCCUGAGCGGGCUGGCAAGGCGCAU